ensembl:lncRNA
AUCUUGCUGGAGAUCCCUGUAUGCCUGGGUCCUUCUGAAGAAGUUACAGUGUCCUGUUCAGAAUGAGUUUAUGCUGUUUUGUGAAGUAGCUUGAUUUUCCUGUUGCACUGCUAAUGGCCGCUCUGGGUUUGAUAGCUCAGAACAGAUGAGGUGAUGCUGGUGGACGGCCUGCUUCCCUGGUGCAGUAUGGCCUAGGUGUUUGUCAUGUCUAAGAUAUAAGCAAAGAGGGGAAAAAAAAAUCAAAUCACUUAAUGCAAGGAAAAAAAACACACAACAACAACAAAAAAACCAACCUGUCAAGACAACAUUUUUAACACUUACACCAGACAAACUGUUGGAUUUUAAAUUGGCAAACAGUCUGUUAUGACAGUCCUUUGAUGGAGCAAUUCAUAGAAAGAAAACUAUCAGGAAAACUCCGCUCUGAGCAAGUGGUGCUUCUACUCGAGAAGAUGAUGCCACUCAAAUCCAGAUCAAAAAAGAGUCACGGCAAUAAAAGACUCCACAAUGAGAUUUGUGUGGGUAGAACCAAUUGCGGAGUAGAAUCUGAAAGGCAAGAGCAGGCUGCUGAGCCGUGGUGGUGCGAAGAGGUACUGAACUGUGCUGCGUGUGCAAUCACUGCUGCGUCCUCUGACGUUUCAGCACUGCGCCAUCUCCGGCUCUCAUAACAACAGAGGGAACACAGCAGCUUUCAGCAACCAUUUUCUUCUACCAGAAUGAUCCAUUCUGCAUUCUAGAGCCCAAAGGUCUAACUGAGGUAGCCUUGAACAUUGCUGCACUUAGAGUAGCCCAAAGUAAUCAGCAUCACACAGAGCUGCUGAAGGUUUCUGCCUCUUCUUGGUGCUGCCUCAGUAUGUGCUCCCCAGUGUCAGUCUGUGCUUUCCUCAACCUGUGUAUAACGGACUCUGUAAUGCAAGACUUAAGGAGGAAUCCUAUUUCCUUUUCUUAAAAUACCUUCAGGUAUUUUGGGAUUUCAUUGGGAAAAAUCAGUAUUGCCAAUCUUAUCCUAAUAAAGGCACACGCCUGUACU